UCUUUAUCGGGAGCGACCAAGGGACUGGCCCGGUGACGUCGCGGCAACCAUUUUCCCUGGGGUACGGUGCCAACUCCCACGAAGCGGCCGCAGCGGCUUCGACCGAUAAGGA
rnacentral:ncRNA from 1 species